rnacentral:rRNA from 1 species
ACCGGGCGGACGGGUGCGUAACGCGUAUAGAACCUACCUUUAACAGAGGGAUAGCCCGAAGAAAUUUGGAUUAAUACCACAUAGUAUUAUAGAGUGGCAUCACUAUAUAAUUAAAGAUUUAUCGGUUAAAGAUGGCUAUGCGUCCCAUUAGCUAGUUGGUAUGGUAACGGCAUACCAAGGCGAUGAUGGGUAGGGGUCCUGAGAGGGAGAUCCCCCACACUGGUACUGAGACACGGACCAGACUCCUACGGGAGGCAGCAGUGAGGAAUAUUGGACAAUGGAGGCAACUCUGAUCCAGCCAUGCCGCGUGCAGGAAGACUGCCUUAUGGGUUGUAAACUGCUUUUAUACAGGAAGAAAAAGGUCCACGCGUGGAUUAUUGACGGUACUGUAAGAAUAAGCAUCGGCUAACUCCGUGCCAGCAGCCGCGGUAAUACGGAGGAUGCGAGCGUUAUCCGGAAUCAUUGGGUUUAAAGGGUCCGUAGGCGGUUUGUUAAGUCAGUGGUGAAAGUUUGUGGCUCAACCAUAAAAUUGCCAUUGAUACUGACGAACUUGAAUGAGUGUGAAGUAACUAGAAUAUGUAGUGUAGCGGUGAAAUGCAUAGAUAUUACAUAGAAUACCAAUUGCGAAGGCAGGUUACUAACACUUGAUUGACGCUGAUGGACGAAAGCGUGGGGAGCGAACAGGAUUAGAUACCCUGGUAGUCCACGCCGUAAACGAUGGAUACUAGCUGUUUGAGCGUAAGUUUGAGUGGCUAAGCGAAAGUGAUAAGUAUCCCACCUGGGGAGUACGCACGCAAGUGUGAAACUCAAAGGAAUUGACGGGGGCCCGCACAAGCGGUGGAGCAUGUGGUUUAAUUCGAUGAUACGCGAGGAACCUUACCAGGGCUUAAAUGUAGAGUGCAUGAUGUGGAAACACACUUUCUUCGGACUCUCUACAAGGUGCUGCAUGGUUGUCGUCAGCUCGUGCCGUGAGGUGUCAGGUUAAGUCCUAUAACGAGCGCAACCCCUAUUGUUAGUUACCAUCGAGUAAUGUCGGGGACUCUAGCAAGACUGCCGGUGUAAACCGUGAGGAAGGUGGGGAUGACGUCAAAUCAUCACGGCCCUUACGUCCUGGGCCACACACGUGCUACAAUGGUAGGUACAGCGAGCAGCCACUCCGCGAGGAGGAGCGAAUCUACAAAAUCUAUCACAGUUCGGAUUGGAGUCUGCAACUCGACUCUAUGAAGCUGGAAUCGCUAGUAAUCGGAUAUCAGCCAUGAUCCCGGUGAAUACGUUCCCCGGGCCUUGUACACACCGCCCGUCAAGCCCAUGGAAGUCUGGGGUACCUGAAGUCGGUGACCGUAAAAGGAGCUGCCUAGGGUAAGACAGGUAACUAGGGCUAAGUCGUAACAAGGUACCC